rnacentral:rRNA from 1 species
CUGGCGGCGUGCCUAAUACAUGCAAGUCGAACGGUCUUUCUAUGGAAGCUUGCUUCCACUGAGAAGAUAGUGGCGAACGGGUGAGUAACACGUGGGUAACCUGCCCAUAAGAGGGGGAUAACAUCCGGAAACGGGUGCUAAUACCGCAUAGUUUUCUUGAUCGCAUGAUCGGGAAAGGAAAGACGGCCUUUGUGCUGUCGCUUAUGGAUGGACCCGCGGCGUAUUAGUUAGUUGGUGAGGUAAUGGCUCACCAAGACGAUGAUACGUAGCCGACCUGAGAGGGUGAUCGGCCACAUUGGGACUGAGACACGGCCCAAACUCCUACGGGAGGCAGCAGUAGGGAAUCUUCCGCAAUGGACGAAAGUCUGACGGAGCAACGCCGCGUGAGUGAAGAAAGGUUUUCGGAUCGUAAAACUCUGUUGUCAGAGAAGAACAAGUUGGAGAGUAACUGCUCCAGCCUUGACGGUAUCUGACCAGAAAGCCACGGCUAACUACGUGCCAGCCGCCGC